AUGACCUAGGGAAGAAUGGCUUUAGGAAAUGACUCUUCAGUGAAAGAAUUUAUCUUGCUGGGCUUGACACAGCAGCCAGAGCUCCAGCUGCCUCUCUUCUUCCUCUUCUUGGGAAUCUAUGUGGUCUCCAUGGUGGGGAACCUGGGCUUGAUUGUUCUGAUUGUGUUGAAUCCUCACCUGCACACCCCCAUGUACUACUUUCUCUUCAACCUUUCCUUCACAGAUCUCUGCUACUCCUCUGUCAUAACCCCCAGAAUGCUGGUGGGUUUUGUGAAGCAGAACAUCAUCUCUCACGCUGAGUGCUUGACUCAGCUCUUUUUCUUUGCCUUCUUUGUUAUUGAUGAAUGCUACAUCUUGACAGCAAUGGCCUAUGACAGAUAUGCUGCCAUUUGUAAGCCCUUGCUUUACCAGGUCACCAUGUCUCAUCAGGUCUGCCUCUUUAUGACAAUGGGUGUGUAUUUGAUGGGCUUUUCUGGUGCCAUGUCCCACAUAGUGUGCAUGCUGAGACUCAACUUCUGUGAUGGCAACAUCAUCAAUCACUAUGUAUGUGAUGUACUUCCUCUCCUUAAACUCUCCUGCACAAGCACUUCCAUCAAUGAGCUGGUACUUUUCAUUGUUGUGGGUGUCAAUGUAAUAAUACCCAGCCUGACUCUCUUUGUUUCUUAUACCUUCAUCCUUUCCAACAUCCUCAGCAUCCAUUCUUCAGAAGGUAGGUCAAAAGCCUUCAGUACCUGUGGCUCCCAUGUGAUAGCUGUUACUCUUUUCUUUGGAGCUGCAGCCUUCAUGUAUCUUAAGCCUGCUAGUGCAUCUGUGGAUGAAGAUAAAAUAUCUACCAUAUUUUAUACCAUUUUGGGCCCAAUGCUGAAUCCUUUUAUCUACAGUAUAAGGAAUAAAGAUGUCCACCUUGCCCUGAGAAAAACUUUGAAGAAAAAGAUAUUUAUGUAA